rnacentral:misc_RNA from 1 species
UUUCCGUAGGUGAACCUGCGGAAGGAUCAUUAUCGAAUCUUCAAACCUUUUGAUUAGGUGUUGGACGAGAGCCGGCUAUGUUGGAAUAUCAUCUAGCAUCCCCUCCGCUCGGCCAGCUCUAUCCAAUUUAACCCCAUUGUGUGAACCGUUUUAUUAGUGUUGACGUUCAAGCGUGUGUUCCUGAUAUGAUUUGACUAUAUCGCUCGUUUCUACACGCUUGCCCGUCAUCACUCAUUAUCGACUCCUAACAAAAAAUACAACAACCCUUGAUGGUCUUAAAAUGCUUCUGUGAUUUUUUCUUAAAUUACAUUUAAAAAUAAAAAAACAACUUUUAACAACGGAUCUCUAGGCUCUC